rnacentral:rRNA from 1 species
UUUAAAUAUGAUGGGAGAGCAAAUCCGCCGAAUUUAAGCAUAUAAUUAAGCGGAAGAAAAGAAAAUAACUAUGAUUCCCUAAGUAACGGCGAGUGAACAGGGAAAAGCUCAAAAAGGAAAAUCCUAUUCAUGCGCAAGUCAUGUUAAGGAAUUGUCUGGUUGGAUUUCAUCCUUUUCUAUAAUUUAUGUUAGGUUGCGAAAUGAGUAGGAAUACUAUUCCAUAGAGGGUGAAAGACCCGUAGCUCUUUGCAUUCUAUAGAAAUGGUGAUUUCUGCAGAGUAGUGUUCUUUGAGAUUGGAGCACAAAUAUGUGUGAUAGAUUUCACAUAAAGCUAAAUAUUUGUAGGAGACCGAUAGUAAACAAGUACCGUGAGGGAAAGAUGAAAUAGUACUCAGGAAUGAGAUUUAAAUAGUACCUGAAAUCGUUAAGAUGGAACGGAUUGAGAGAGAAAUAACGUAAGAUGGGGUAUUUCCCUGCUCUUUAGAGCACGUUUUAAUUCCUAUCUUAUUAAAAGAAGCAUCAGUGAAUUGUUGAAUAAUUAAAAUAUAGUUAAGUAUUCUUUACAAAUAUAAUAUAAUAUGUACGUAAAGAUUUCGUAUCACUUCCGCUAAAUUGGUUGGAUAACGAGCUAUUAUUGAUUGUUACGUUUACUGAGGUUAAUAAAAUCUUUAGGGCCUUCGUCCCUAUUGAUUUAAGUUGCUUCUAAAAAGCACUUUCUCAACCCACUCGUCUUGAAACACGGACCAAGGAGUCUAACAAAUGUGCGAGCGUAUAUAUGUUUUUAACUAUAACGAAAUAAAUCUAAACUUUAUGUUCGAUAAUACGCAUAAUUAAUGUAAUUAAUUGGUAGAAUUUUUAGGGAAAACCCUAUUUUGCAUACCAUGCCGGUUGGCAAUUAUGCUAAAUUGAGUAAAAGUAUAUUUGUUAGGACCCGAGAGGCUUUGAACUAAGCGUGGUGAGAUUGAAGUCAGACGAAAGUCUGAUGGAAGAUCGAAUUGAUACUGACGUGCAAAUCGUUCAUUUCAAUCACGUUUAGGGGCGAAAGACUAAUCGAAAAGCCUAUUAGCUGGUUAUUUUCGAAAGAUCUCUCAGGAUCGCUGGAGUUGAUUAAUAUAGUUUUACGAGGUAGAGAUAAUGAUUAGAGGAAUCAGGGAAAUCGUUUUCCUUGACCUAUUCUCAAACUCCCAAUACGUAAUAAGGGAUUAAUAUCUUAACUGUAUUUUUCCCACCUAUAAAUAAAAUAACUCCAAGUGGGCCAUUUUUGGUAAGCAGAACUGGCGAUGAGGGAUGCUCCUAACGCUUGGAUAAGGUGCCUAAAUAUUCGCUCAUGAGAUCCCAUAAAAGGUGUUGGUUCAUAAUGACAGUAGGACGGUGGUCAUGGAAGUCGAAAUCCGCUAAGGAGUGUGUAACAACUCACCUACCGAAUGAACUAGCCCUGAAAAUGGAUGGCGCUAAAGCGGAUUACCGAUACCAAGCCAUAGAAAGAAAUUUAAUGGUUAUUUGGUUCUCCUUUUAAUCUUUUCUUUAAUCUUUCUAUGAGUAGAAAAUCGUGGGGUUUGUGUAGAAGCA